rnacentral:rRNA from 1 species
CACGUAGGGCGCAAGCGUUGUCCGGAAUUAUUGGGCGUAAAGAGCUCGUAGGUGGUUUGUUACGUCUGCUGUGAAAACCUAGGGCUUAACCCUGGGCUUGCAGUGGAUACGGGCAGACUAGAGGUAGGUAGGGGAGACUGGAAUUCCUGGUGUAGCGGUGGAAAUGCGCAGAUAUCAGGAGGAACACCGGUGGCGAAGGCGGGUCUCUGGGCCGAUACUGACGCUGAGGAGCGAAAGCGUGGGGAGCGAACAGG